GUCCAGCUGAUGAGUCCUAAAUAGGACGAAAGCGCACGUCAAACUGGAU
rnacentral:hammerhead_ribozyme from 1 species